rnacentral:rRNA from 1 species
GAUGAACGCUGGCGGCGUGCCUAAUACAUGCCAGUCGAGCGAACGGACGAGAAGCUUGCUUCUCUGAUGUUAGCGGCGGACGGGUGAGUAACACGUGGAUAACCUACCUAUAAGACUGGGAUAACUUCGGGAAACCGGAGCUAAUACCGGAUGAUAUUUUGAACCGCAUGGUUCAAAAGUGAAAGACGGUCUUGCUGUCACUUAUAGAUGGAUCCGCGCUGCAUUAGCUAGUUGGUAAGGUAACGGCUUACCAAGGCAACGAUGCAUAGCCGACCUGAGAGGGUGAUCGGCCACACUGGAACUGAGACACGGUCCAGACUCCUACGGGAGGCAGCAGUAGGGAAUCUUCCGCAAUGGGCGAAAGCCUGACGGAGCAACGCCGCGUGAGCGAUGAAGGUCUUCGGAUCGUAAAACUCUGUUAUUAGGGAAGAACAUAUGUGUAAGUAACUGUGCACAUCUUGACGGUACCUAAUCAGAAAGCCACGGCUAACUACGUG